rnacentral:rRNA from 1 species
UACGAAGGGGGCUAGCGUUGUUCGGAAUUACUGGGCGUAAAGCGCACGUAGGCGGCUUUUUAAGUCAGAGGUGAAAUCCUGGAGCUCAACUCCAGAACUGCCUUUGAUACUGGAAGGCUUGAGUCCGGGAGAGGUGAGUGGAACUGCGAGUGUAGAGGUGAAAUUCGUAGAUAUUCGCAAGAACACCAGUGGCGAAGGCGGCUCACUGGCCCGGUACUGACGCUGAGACGCGAAAGCGUGGGGAGCAAACAGG